rnacentral:lncRNA from 12 species
AUGAGUGGCGUAUCCCACACUAAUACUGUGCUUAUCCUGUCUGAUUUGGGGCUUUUAUCUCCCUCAGCACGCAGCUGGCUUUGCUUAAAGGUCCCACGUCAGAGCUGGGGGUGCUGGGCAGCAUUGCUGGGCUCCCCCAAACCCCCUCCUGGGGUGACUCCACUCUCUGCUCCAGCCAGAAUUGAUUUCCAGGCAAAAUACUUCCAGCAAGACAAGGGAGAGGGACAGGGAGAGGAGUUGUGUUUUCCUGUGGAUCCUGCGUGGCUCCUGCCCCUGGGGACUGAGCUCCUGCCAGUCCCUCGGUGCUGCUGUGACCAGGGUGGGAUUUGGAGGGAUUCAGGCUUUUCUGGGGUCUGCAGGGUUUCUGCAGCUCCUGUCACCUCUGCGGGGGCCUGCCAGGGGGUGGCACUGCAGAGGCUGAUGCCAGCCAGGGAAGAAGCAGGGAGCAGAAGGCAGGGAUGUGCUGUGGAGUGGUGGGCACAGGGAUGGAUGGAGCGAGUCCUGUCCUGGCUGCAUCCGAGUGCUGCUGUCCUGAGCUCCCCUUGCUGCUGCCAGCAGGAAAACCUGACAGUUCCUGAAGGGAGGGACAAAACACAGGGUGCAGGAGGGGCAGAGGCUCUGGAGGGACUGGAGGGGGUUUUCCAGCCCAGUUUAGGUUAGGGGGUGACAGACUAAAAGCCGGGGAGCUUGCACAUCCAAGCUCAUCCUCGGGCACACAUUCCCCAAGGAAUACGAGUGCUCUCACACAGCCCAGCUCGUUCUGGAACUAAUUACCCAGCCAGGCAGACGAGCAGUGUAUUCUGAUACCCGAGGAAGCCCUGUAAAAGUGCUGGGCUGCCACAGAGAGCUCUGCUGUGCUCAGGAAAUUGGGCUCUUGCCCUCGUCCCCUUCACUCUCGAGCACGGCUGGGUCACACGAGGGGGGCAAUUAGCCUUGACAUGGUCACCAGGGACUACCUGCCCACACAGCUGACCCCCAGCACCACAGGCAGCACUGCCUGCCUUCCCCCAGAUUGCUCUGUUUCAUUAAUAAAAAAUA